rnacentral:rRNA from 1 species
CCUGAUGCAGCGACGCCGCGUGAGGGAUGACGGCCUUCGGGUUGUAAACCUCUUUCAGCAGGGAAGAAGCCACAAGUGACGGUACCUGCAGAAGAAGCGCCGGCUAACUACGUGCCAGCAGCCGCGGUAAUACGUAGGGCGCAAGCGUUGUCCGGAAUUAUUGGGCGUAAAGAGCUCGUAGGCGGUUUGUCGCGUCUGCUGUGAAAGCCCGGGGCUUAACCCCGGGUGUGCAGUGGGUACGGGCAGACUAGAGUGCAGUAGGGGAGACUGGAAUUCCUGGUGUAGCGGUGGAAUGCGCAGAUAUCAGGAGGAACACCGAUGGCGAAGGCAGGUCUCUGGGCUGUUACUGACGCUGAGGAGCGAAAGCAUGGGGAGCGAACAGGAUUAGAUACCCUGGUAGUCCAUGCCGUAAACGUUGGGCACUAGGUGUGGGGGACAUUCCACGUUUUCCGCGCCGUAGCUAACGCAUUAAGUGCCCCGCCUGGGGAGUACGGCCGCAAGGCU